rnacentral:rRNA from 1 species
AUUGAACGCUGGCGGCAGGCUUAACACAUGCAAGUCGAGCGGGGUGAUGGUGCUUGCACUAUCACUUAGCGGCGGACGGGUGAGUAAUGCUUAGGAAUCUGCCUAUUAGUGGGGGACAACAUCUCGAAAGGGAUGCUAAUACCGCAUACGCCCUACGGGAGAAAGCAGGGGAUCACUUGUGACCUUGCGCUAAUAGAUGAGCCUAAGUCGGGUUAGCUAGUUGGUGGGGUAAAGGCCUACCAAGGCGACGAUCUGUAGCGGGUCUGAGAGGAUGAUCCGCCACACUGGGACUGAGACACGGCCCAGACUCCUACGGGAGGCAGCAGUGGGGAAUAUUGGACAAUGGGGGGAACCCUGAUCCAGCCAUGCCGCGUGUGUGAAGAAGGCCUUAUGGUUGUAAAGCACUUUAAGCGAGGAGGAGGCUCUUUUGGUUAAUACCCAGAAUGAGUGGACGUUACUCGCAGAAUAAGCACCGGCUAACUCUGUGCCAGCCGCCGCAGUAA